rnacentral:rRNA from 1 species
CCUACGGGUGGCAGCAGUGAGGAAUAUUGGUCAAUGGGCGAAAGCCUGACGCAGCGACGCCGCGUGAGGGAUGAAGGUCUUCGGAUCGUAAACCUCUGUCAGCAGGGAAGAACGGUCACUGUGCUAAUCAGCAGUGAAUUGACGGUACCUGCAAAGGAAGCACCGGCUAACUCCGUGCCAGCAGCCGCGGUAAUACGGAGGGUGCGAGCGUUAAUCGGAAUUACUGGGCGUAAAGCGCUCGUAGGCGGUAUGUCAAGUCAAGGGUGAAAUCCCCGCGCUCAACGUGGGAACUGCCUUAGAAACUGGCAAACUGGAGUGUGUGAGAGGAUAGUGGAAUUCCAGGUGUAGGAGUGAAAUGCGUAGAUAUCUGGAGGAACAUCAGUGGCGAAGGCGACUAUCUGGCACAUAACUGACGCUGAGGAGCGAAAGCGUGGGUAGCAAACAGGAUUAGAUACCCCAGUAGUC